rnacentral:lncRNA from 1 species
CUGCAGGCACACCCUCCCCCUCACGGACUGUCCAUGGCUGCUGUGGACUCAUUGGGUGGCUCUCUGAGGCCUCUGUCCCCACGAUAUUCCAGCUCCUCAUCCUGGUGAAGGAAGCAAGGACUCGGGAGUGGACAAGCUACCAGGUCUCCAGGACUGAAGGUUAUCAUCUAAGUUGGUGUUCUCAACUGGAGGCGAUUUACCCCCCACCCAGGAGACAGUUGGCAAUGUCUGGAGGAAAUCUCUUGCCGGAAGCCGUGCCACAGAGCACACAGGCAGUUUGCAGAGAAGGAUGCAACCCACACCAUGUCCGAAGCGGGCUCUGGGGAAGGCAAGUGUGUAAGCUGGUCAGCUUACAGCAGUACAAAUUGGCAGCGUGGCAAGAAAGAAAACUGAAAUUCAAUCCAACACUGGGAUUGGAAGCUCUUGAGACUCAAAUGUCACCAACACCGGGGGCUUCUCCUCUAAUUAUCCUGUCAAACGAGGGUUGAAAAUGUCAGCACAGACUUCAGUCUCAGCUCCUCCAGCAACCAAUGAGAGUGGGCUUGGGUCUGGUUUAAAUGAUGAAGAACAAAUUUGAAAAACCCUUCAGUUGAUUUCAAGACUUCCUGGGACGGCGAUGUUUAAACCACAAUGUUCUUCUUUUGGGGCAAAGUUAAGAGCCAAUCACAGUUAAGGUUUCUCUGCAUGUUCUGCCCAUAUUUGGCUGUAAUCUUGCUUCAUCCAACUAAAUUUAUAAUAUAUGUGAGUGAAAAGCAAGCCUUUGGGAUUUGUCUCUCUCUCUCUUUCCUUGUUAUAAAGGAAGCCUUAUCUUUAUGCAUUUGGGGCUACCUGUGAACUUACAGUCUAGCUUCAAAGCAAAGAAAGGAGCAGCCAGUGUAGAAAACUUCGUUUUUACUUUUUUUUUUUUUUUUAAACAAGCUUUAACUGUAGCUUCUGGCUACAGGAAAGUACAUAGAAAACCGAAUCUAGUUUCGGCCUGUGCAGUACUGACCAGGAGAGGCUUAUGAGAUUAUGGGGAUAUUGAAGAACACAGAAUGUCACAUGGAUGAUUGUAUUUUAUCUAUAAUGUAUGUGUAGGAGAGAUCCAUUUCUCAGAGAUGGCAAGAACUAAAUGCACCCUUUGAAAUAUCUUCUUAGGGGUUGCUUGAGGAGGAUGAUCAAAUCUUACAGAGAGAUAAGACACAAAUAUGAUAAAAGUUAUUCUCAUUUUAAGUGACUAUUUAUUGACCACUUGAUAUGUAUCAUCCAUUUCAUUCUCACCACAAUCCUAUGAAGGAGAUUCAAUUCUAUCCACAUUUUGCAGUGAAGAAACUGUGGCAGUGCAUGUAACUUGCCCCAGGUGCCUGAGCUUAUAAGGAGUGGAACUAAGAAUCCACUCUGAACAGUCAGCUGCCAAAGCCCCUCACUCUUAGCCUCUUUGCUCUACUCCACUGAGAUGUUCUCUUGGGUUUACUACCAAGAACAGAGGCUGUAAGUAGUAUAGAAUGCCCCCGGGGACCCCAGUGUCCAAGACACCAACUUCCACUGCCUCUCAGGACCCUAAGGAAAGAAAACUGAGAGGUUGUUCAGCUUGUCUCAGGUCCAGAACUGUCUGGUCAGAGGGGAUCCUGGGAUCCACCAGUUGAGCCCUUCAUUCAGGGCCCCAGUUAUUCCUAGUCUUGGGAAACCCAGCUCUAGAAGCCCCUCCCCAGCAGGAUUGAGGACAAAGGGGCUAGACUAGAGACCCAGCAACAUGGCCCUUCCAUGUUCUCAAAACUCAAGAGACCUAGAAAAGAGAAGGGUGGCAAAGCAGCCCAGCCCCACCCCCCAGGGCCAGAGAGGCCCCACUUCACUCUGUAGAGCAGUGGGAUUCAUCUGGGUGCCAUUUGGCCCUCCAGGAGAUGUUUGGCAAUGUUUAGAGACAUUUUAGGUUGCCACAGCUGGGUUGGGGAGGCGAGGGUGCUACUGGCAUCUAGUGGGUAGAGGCCAGGGAUGCUGUUAAAUAUCCUACAACGCACAGCACAGCUCCUGCCACAAAGUGCUGCGGUGAGAAGCCCUGCCCUCAAGUCUUGGUUGGGCACAUUCCACCCACAGCUCUGAGGAAGCUCCGUCUGGGGCUUCUUCAAAGAGUCAUUCUGCAACCAGGAAGCUGGCAGCCCAUACAACUAUGCAGAAGGUGAAAGAGAGAAGGCGGGACCAUGAACACGCGUUUUAAUUACUGCAUGUUUGUUUCUGACAGAGAGAGGUCAGUGUUUGCCUCCAUUUGCAGGCAUCAGGACCAAGGUGGGCAGUGGGCAGUGAGGGGGCAGGGGUGGAGGGCGGCACUAGCUCUGUGUAGCAGGCUGAAUAAUGGCUUCUAAAGAUAGCAGAUCCUGAUCCCGGUAGCCUUCUAUGAAAAAAGGUGGUCUUUGCAGAUGUCAUUAAGUGAAGAAUCUUGAGAUGGGGAGAUUAUCCUGUAUCAUCUGAGUGGGUCCUAAAUGUAAUCACACGUAUUCUUGAGAGAAGGAGGCAGAGGGAGAUCUACGUGCACAUGGAAAAGGUGAUGUAACAACAGCAGAAAUUGGGGUGAUGAGGCCACAAGCCAAGGAAUAUGGAUGGCCACUAGAAGCUGGAAAAGGCAAGGAUCAGAUACUCCCCUAGAGCUUCCUGGGGGAACGUGGCCCUGCCCACACCUUGAUUUGGGCCUAGCGAGACUGAUUUCAAAAUUCUGGCCGCCAGAACUGUGAGAGAAUAAACUGUUGUCUUAAGCCACCAAGUUGGUGGUCAUUUGUUACUGCAGCCAUAGGAGACUAAUCUACCCUGAGACUCCUGGGGCCCCCAGAUGGAUCCUCUGAGGCUGAGGGGCAAACUCUUCCAUGCAGGCAAAGCCAGAAAAAGGGGAAUGGAAAUUUCCUUUGCACUUUCCUUGAUACAUUUACAUUUCCCAUCCCACCCUUUAAGCACCCUUUCCUGUGAAAACAUGGCACCUGCCCCCUCACCGGCCUCUAUCAGUCAACAAUUCAACUGAAUGUCGGGCAAAGCAUAUGACACCCCCAGUGCUUGGUUCAAACCUGUUUGAGUCACCUGUCACUUUCUACCUUGAAUUUUUGUCACCAAUGUACAUGCAGUAACUUCUAUACUAGACUGUGACUCAGACGCUCACAAUCACACUCAAACACAGUCUAGUGUUUUUCACAGCCUGGUAUAGAAGGUACUGCCUGUACAUCAGAACAGGGGAGCAGGAGCCUGAUCUGAUUUAUUAUGAAGUCUCCCAAGGCCUCCAGCGCACAGUAUCAGGCACACAGGAAACAAUCAAUGAUUAAUGUGUGCUUCCUCCAUCCUAUGAGAAAUAUUACUUAGGUCUCUUUAUGACGAGUGGCCAAAAAGCACAAAGCCGAAUCUGAUGCUUAUUAAUAGUAAUCCCAUACUUGCUGUAAGCCCUGCAACAACUAUCAUUAUCCAUGUUUUGUUUUUCAAUGGAGGUAUAAUUUACAUACAGUAACAUGCACACAUCUUAAGUGUAUAGCUUGAUGAAUUUUUACCUAAAUAUACCUCCUGGAAACCACUGACCACACAAACAUCUAUGUCUUUCCAUCACUCUAGAAAGCUUCCUUUUUCCCUUUUCCUAGUCAAUUAACCCCCAUGCCCCUCACACUCCAGUGAACCACUAUUCUGACUUCUACUCCCAUAAACUAGGUUUGCUUGUUUGUGAACUUCAUAUAAAUGAAAUUGUACAGAAUGUACUCUUGCAUCUGGCUUCUUUCUCUUAACAUAAUGUUUUUGAGAUUUAUCCAGGUGAUUGUAUCAGUUUAUUCUUUCUUUUUUUAAUCUGCUGUGUAUUAUUCCAUUGUAAGAAUAUGCCAUAAUUUGUUUAUCCAUUCUUCUAUUGAUGGACAUUUGGAUCAUUUCCAGUUUGGGCAUAUUGUGAAUAAAGCUGCUAUGAAUACUGGUGUAUUUUAUGGACCUGUGCUUUCACUCCUCCUGGCUAUGUACUUAGGAGUAAAAUUGCUGGGCUGUAGA